GAAGAAAGAAAGAAAGAAAAUUAUCCCGAAAGAGAGAGAGAGAAAGAAAGAAAAAGGAAAGAAAGAGAGAGAGAAAGAAAGAAAGAAAGAAAAUUAUCCCUUAACAGUGUUUCUCAACCUUCCUAAUGCUGCAGCUUUUAAUACAGUUUCUGGAACUCAUUCGGGCGGACUCGUCUGGAGAUGGAUAGAGGAGCCGUAUCUCAGUUCCUAAGUCCAUUGGAAACAGGCAAGAGGAUUGCUGUCGGAACACAGCCCGGGAACGGAGACAUUCGAGGGGAAUUCCGAAGGCUCUAAGAAAACAAGGAGUCUUGUGACCUCAGUUCCUUGUGAGUUGACUCCGGACCAGACACGGUUGCUUGCUGCUGUUAUUGUUUGUAUGCCUCGACGGAAGACCCUGGUUUUGCCACGUGUGUCUUGUCCCUGUGAUGGUACACUCACAUGACUCUUCUCAGCCUGCAGAGUAUCAACUGCCCGAUUGAUGCUCUGAGUAAAGCUGGCUAGCGCGUGAGACUUCA